AGUGAUUAGCUCUGUCCUUCAGAGUUUUUCUCAACUGUUUUGGUUUGUUGAACUAUUUGGGCUGUUGCACCAUUUGUUUGACAAGCCUUAUCCAUUUGGAAGCUCUUUUGAACAAAUUGGAUUAGUGAAUUUCUCAACUGUUGUUAGAGGAGCUUCUUUUUGCAGAGGAUGGUGAUUAACAAGAGACCCACAACUGGUCAUGGUGCACAGAUGCUCAGCCUGUCUCACACUCCCUUCUCCCGAGGCUCAGUGCUAGAGAUGGAACACAGGACCCCAC